rnacentral:rRNA from 1 species
GACGAACGCUGGCGGCGUGCCUAAUACAUGCAAGUCGAACGAGAGCGACCGGUGCUUGCACUGGUCAAUCUAGUGGCGAACGGGUGAGUAACACGUGGGUAACCUGCCCAUCAGAGGGGGAUAACAUUCGGAAACGGAUGCUAAAACCGCAUAGGUCUUCGAACCGCAUGGUUUGAGAGGAAAAAAAGGCGAAGGCUCCGGCGGAGGGUGGAACCCGCGGUGCAUUAGCUAGUUGGUGAGGUAACGGCUCACCAAGGCCGUGAUGCAUAGCCGACCUGAGAGGGUGAUCGGCCACAUUGGGACUGAGACACGGCCCAAACUCCUACGGGAGGCAGCAGUAGGGAAUCUUCCGCAAUGGACGCAAGUCUGACGGAGCAACGCCGCGUGAGUGAAGAAGGUUUUCGGAUCGUAAAACUCUGUUGUUAGAGAAGAAUAAGUGCUAGAGUAACUGUUAGCGCCUUGACGGUAUCUAACCAGAAAGCCACGGCUAACUACGUG